GAUGAACGCUAGCGGGAGGCUUAACACAUGCAAGUCGCGGGGCAGCAUGAUGUAGCAAUACAUUGAUGGCGACCGGCGCACGGGUGAGUAACGCGUAUGCAACCUGCCCAGUACAGGGGGAUAGCCCGGAGAAAUUCGGAUUAAUACCCCAUAAUGAUAAGAGAUGGCAUCAUUUUUUAUUUAAAGUUACGGCGGUACUGGAUGGGCAUGCGUGACAUUAGCUAGUUGGUAGGGUAACGGCCUACCAAGGCAUCGAUGUCUAGGGGUCCUGAGAGGGUGAUCCCCCACACUGGUACUGAGACACGGACCAGACUCCUACGGGAGGCAGCAGUGAGGAAUAUUGGUCAAUGGGCGCAAGCCUGAACCAGCCAUCCCGCGUGAAGGAAGAAUGCGCUAUGCGUUGUAAACUUCUUUUCCAGGGGAAUAAAAUUUCGUACGAGUACGGGACUGAAGGUACCUUGGGAAUAAGCAUCGGCUAACUCCGUG
rnacentral:rRNA from 1 species